rnacentral:rRNA from 1 species
UACGGAGGGAGCUAGCGUUGUUCGGAAUUACUGGGCGUAAAGCGCGCGUAGGCGGCUUUGUAAGUUAGAGGUGAAAGCCCGGGGCUCAACCCCGGAAUUGCCUUUAAGACUGCAUCGCUUGAAUCCGGGAGAGGGAUGCGGAAUUCCAGGGUGUAGCGGUGAAAUGCGUAGAUAUCUGGAGGAACACCGGUGGCGAAGGCGGCAUCCUGGACCGGCAUUGACGCUGAGGCGCGAAAGCCAGGGGAGCAAACGGGG